AGUGAACGCUGGCGGUAGGCCUAACACAUGCAAGUCGAACGGCAGCACAGUAAGAGCUUGCUCUUACGGGUGGCGAGUGGCGGACGGGUGAGGAAUACAUCGGAAUCUACUUUUUCGUGGGGGAUAACGUAGGGAAACUUAUGCUAAUACCGCAUACGACCUACGGGUGAAAGCAGGGGAUCUUCGGGCCUUGCGCGAUUGAAUGAGCCGAUGUCGGAUUAGCUAGUUGGCGGGGUAAAGGCCCACCAAGGCGACGCUCCGUAGCUGGUCUGAGAGGGUGAUCAGCCACACUGGAACUGAGACACGGUCCAGACUCCUACGGGAGGCAGCAGUGGGGAAUAUUGGACAAUGGGCGAAAGCCUGAUCCAGCAAUACCGCGUGAGUGAAGAAGGCCUUCGGGUUGUAAAGCCCUUUUGUUGGGAAAGAAAAGCAGCAGGUUAAUACGCCGCUGUUCUGACGGUACCCAAAGAAUAAGCACCGGCUAACUUCGUG
rnacentral:rRNA from 1 species